UGGCACUGAAUCCUGCUGCUAGCUAUAUUACGGGACAGGUAUUGCCGUAUUAUGUCGUUUCAUCUAUCCUUUUUCUAAAGCUUCUCUCUUGCUACUUAGUCUUAGAACAGUUGUUUAUUAUUUGUAUUUAUUUUCUUUACAGGUUUUGACCAUUGAUGGUGGGAUGGUUAUGUAGAAGUUUAGAAACUCCGUAUUUUGUUUGCUCACAGAGAAGAAUUGAAAGGGUGAUUAUUUAGGUUCCACCGGGGCUGUAGCCUCAUUCUAUGCCCGAGGAAAAGGAGCUUAUUAAGUUAGUGGUAGGAGAUGGCCGGACACUGUUUUCUGCAUUUUCUCCUCUUCUUUUUCCAUUUUGCCGGCUGAGGAAGCAUUUUUUGGAAAUUUUGAAACAGGAUUUUAUUUUUUG
rnacentral:lncRNA from 1 species